rnacentral:rRNA from 1 species
AAAUUUUUAAGGUUGAUUGUGCCUUACUUCGAUUGCGAUCUUUCGACCUUACGCAUGCUAGUUUAAAGUGAAAUCACUUGGCGCAAAGGGUAGGACUACUCUGACCAACAAUCUCAACUUAAAGCUUGAAAAGCAGUAAAUGUAUUUUGAAGUUGAGAGCCGUCAGACGCGAUUAGAUUGGAAUGCUUUCAAACACUCCAAACAAUGAUCGCUAACCGAUUUGAGAGGGUGAUCGGUACCAAAAGCCUUGCAAGGGCUUUCGGCGUUAUAUGCCGCAGCAGCGUGGAAUAUUUGCCAAUGGGCGAAAGCCUGAGCGAAUCGAAAGAGUGAUGGAUUGAAGGAAAAAUCUGUAAACAUCAUAAUCUAGAGAAUAAUAAGAACGUAUCUAGGAGUAAGAGCGGCUUAAUAUGUGUGCCAGAAAGCUCGGUUAUACAUGACGCUCAAGCAAUGAAGAUCAUGACUGGGUGUACAGUGUCCUUCGGCAAAAACAAGUGUGUCAGCGGCGUAUGGAAUUAGCAAGGGACCGAUAAAAUGGGUUGAUCUUACUAGGAACGCCAAUUGCGAAGGCAGUGCGCUGGGGCAACACUGAUGCUUAGGGACGAAGGAACAGGGAGCAAAGGCCAUUAGAUACGGCUGUAGUCUGUUCUGUCAACGAUGACCAUUACCACUUUAGCUCUGCUAGAGUGUAAGCUAACGCGUAAAUGGUCCACCUCAAUAGUACGAACGCAAGUUUAAAAUUGAAACAAUUUAUGCGCAGCGAACCAACGCAGUGGAUUAUGUUGAUUAAUUCGAUGCUACGCGCUAACCUUACGCAGUCUUGGAUAUUUUGAAAUAGUUUUAAAGCAAUCUUUAAAAUUUGCAAAUUACAGCCUUGCAUGGCCGAGGUCAGCUCGUUUUAUGAUAAGUUCGGUUAAGUCCAGAAACGAGCGAAACGCCUAUUUUUACUAUACUAGCUGUGCUACAAAGCACAAAGUUCCAGUAAAAAACUACUGUUGAUAAAGCAGGGGAAGUUGGCAUUAUCUCAGGUCCUCAUGAGGUUUAUGACUGUGGCUUCGAAACGUAAUACAAAGGUGAUCACAAAUAGAUGCAAGGGUGCAUGAAAAUAGUUUUUCACUAAAGCCGGAGCGAAUCUUUUAAAAAUCACUUCACGGAUUGUUUUCUGCAACUCGAAAGCAUGAAGAAGGAAUUGCGAGUAAUCGUUUUAAAGAAUUGGAACGGUGAACCUUGUUAUUCGCUGGUUAUAAAUAGCCCGUCAAUGCCAGGUAGGUUGUUUAAUAGGAAAAGCUGACUUGAAGUUUUACCAGUAAUGCUAAAAAUAUCAAGCUGCUUCAUUAUUAAGCUUGGGACCCGGCAUAAGUCGUAACUGGUAAUCGUAAAGGAAUUUGCGGUUGAAUUUAAUUUUUC